CUACGGGCCGCAGCAGUGAGGAAUAUUGCACAAUGGAGGAAACUCUGAUGCAGCAACGCCGCGUGGAGGAUGACGCAUUUCGGUGUGUAAACUCCUUUUAAGAGGGAAGAUAAUGACGGUACCUCUUGAAUAAGCACCGGCUAACUCCGUGCCAGCAGCCGCGGUAAUACGGAGGGUGCAAGCGUUACUCGGAAUCACUGGGCGUAAAGGGUGCGUAGGCUGACUUUUAAGUCAGGUGUGAAAUCCAAUGGCUCAACCAUUGAACUGCACUUGAAACUGGGAGUCUAGAGUUCAGAAGGGGCAGAUGGAAUUAGUGGUGUAGGGGUAAAAUCCGUAGAUAUCACUAGGAAUAUCAAAAGCGAAGGCGAUCUGCUGGGAUGAUACUGACGCUGAGGCACGAAAGCGUGGGGAGCAAACAGGAUUAGAUACCCGCGUAGUC
rnacentral:rRNA from 1 species